CUUCACCGACCCCAACCACAGCGGCCGGUCCUGCGGACGGUCCUGCCCAUAGGUAGCCAGCACCGCCUGCGCCUC
rnacentral:antisense_RNA from 1 species